UACAGAGGGUGCAAGCGUUAAUCGGAAUUACUGGGCGUAAAGCGUGCGUAGGUGGUUCGUUAAGUCAGGUGUGAAAGCCCGGGGCUCAACCUCGGAACUGCAUUUGAUACUGUCGAGCUGGAGUGUGGUAGAGGAUAGUGGAAUUCCCGGUGUAGCGGUGAAAUGCGUAGAUAUCGGGAGGAACAUCAGUGGCGAAGGCGGCUAUCUGGACCAACACUGACACUGAGGCACGAAAGCGUGGGUAGCAAAC
rnacentral:rRNA from 1 species